AUUAUUUACCUGACAACACUUGCUUUUAAUGGUUUCAAAACCUCGAUAAUUUUUGUAAAUUAUAAAGAAACAGAGCAUUUUAUAACGAGCAUAUGUCAACUAACCCAUUCCCAGCAAUUACAAUAAAUCCUCAGCUGUUUGUACAGCAAUUUGAUCAACCCUCAAGCAUUGGAAAAAUAAUAACUGAUGAUCGUAGCAGAAAAAUAAUAUCUAGCAUGCCCUUGUUUGCCGCAGCAACUAUUAUCCAAAAAAGCAACUGCCCGGAAAAGAGCGAACGCGAUUGUUUUAAAUGCAAAUUAAUUAGGCGUCUCUGGAUGGUUACAGUGAACAUGUACGACAUCAUGGGUUUAUUGGACAUAUGUCCAUGCAGCACGCUACACUAUAUCAGACCGUACAUAAGUUACGAGGUGUUGCCCAAAUGCUAAGUCUAAUUCUAACUAACUUCUAUAUUUUUCGCAAUGUAUGUUAUCGGAAAUUGUAAAAAAUAGUAAAGAAUUUACCAAAGCAA